AGGUUAAGUUAAUAAGGGCGCACGGUGGAUGCCUUGGCACUAGGAGCCGACGAAGGACGUGACAAACGACGAUAUGCCUUGGGUAGCUGUAAGUAAGCGAUGAUCCAGGGAUUUCCGAAUGGGGGAACCCAACAGGUAAUACCUGUUACCUACAUCUGUUAAGGAUGUGAGGAGGAAGACGCAGUGAACUGAAACAUCUAAGUAGCUGCAGGAAGAGAAAGCAAAAGCGAUUGCCUUAGUAGCGGCGAGCGAAACGGCAGAAGGGCAAACCGAAGAGUUUACUCUUCGGGGUUGUAGGACUGCAAUGUGGACUCAAAGAUUAUAGAAGAAUGAUUUGGGAAGAUCAGCCAAAGAGAGUAAUAGCCUCGUAUUUAAAAUAGUCUUUGUACUUAGCAGUAUCCUGAGUACGGCGGGACACGUGAAAUCCCGUCGGAAUCUGGGAGGACCAUCUCCCAACCCUAAAUACUCCCUAGUGACCGAUAGUGAACCAGUACCGUGAGGGAAAGGUGAAAAGCACCCCGGGAGGGGAGUGAAAUAGAACCUGAAACCGUGUGCCUACAACAAGUUCGAGCCCGUUAAUGGGUGAGAGCGUGCCUUUUGUAGAAUGAACCGGCGAGUUACGUUAUGAUGCGAGGUUAAGUUGAAGAGACGGAGCCGUAGGGAAACCGAGUCUGAAUAGGGCGCCUUAGUAUCAUGACGUAGACCCGAAACCAUGUGACCUACCCAUGAGCAGGUUGAAGGUGCGGUAAGACGCACUGGAGGACCGAACCAGGGCACGUUGAAAAGUGCUUGGAUGACUUGUGGGUAGCGGAGAAAUUCCAAACGAACUUGGAGAUAGCUGGUUCUCUCCGAAAUAGCUUUAGGGCUAGCGUCGACAUUAGAGAUUCUUGGAGGUAGAGCACUGUUUGGGUGAGGGGUCCAUCCCGGAUUACCAAUCUCAGAUAAACUCCGAAUGCCAAUGAAUUAUGGUCGGCAGUCAGACUGCGAGUGCUAAGAUCCGUAGUCGAAAGGGAAACAGCCCAGACCACCAGCUAAGGUCCCAAAAUAAUUGUUAAGUGGAAAAGGAUGUGGGGUUGCACAGACAACUAGGAUGUUAGCUUAGAAGCAGCUAUUCAUUCAAAGAGUGCGUAAUAGCUCACUAGUCGAGUGACCCUGCGCCGAAAAUGUACCGGGGCUAAAACAAUUUACCGAAGCUGUGGAUACCUUUAUAGGUAUGGUAGGAGAGCGUUCUAUGUGUGAUGAAGGUAUACCGUGAGGAGUGCUGGAACGCAUAGAAGUGAGAAUGCCGGUAUGAGUAGCGAAAGACAGGUGAGAAUCCUGUCCACCGUAAGACUAAGGUUUCCAGGGGAAGGCUCGUCCGCCCUGGGUUAGUCGGGACCUAAGGAGAGACCGAAAGGUGUAUCCGAUGGACAACAGGUUGAUAUUCCUGUACUAGAGUAUGUAGUGAUGGAGGGACGCAGUAGGCUAACUAAAGCAGACGAUUGGAAGAGUCUGUCUAAGCAGUGAGGUGUGAAUUGAGUCAAAUGCUUAAUUCUAUAACAUUGAGCUGUGAUGGGGAGCGAAGUUUAGUAGCGAAGUUAGUGACGUCACACUGCCAAGAAAAGCUUCUAGCGUUUAAACAUACUCUACCCGUACCGCAAACCGACACAGGUAGUCGAGGCGAGUAGCCUCAGGUGAGCGAGAGAACUCUCGUUAAGGAACUCGGCAAAAUGACCCCGUAACUUCGGGAGAAGGGGUGCUGACUUAAAGUCAGCCGCAGUGAAUAGGCCCAAGCAACUGUUUAUCAAAAACACAGCUCUCUGCUAAAUCGUAAGAUGAUGUAUAGGGGGUGACGCCUGCCCGGUGCUGGAAGGUUAAGAGGAGUGCUUAGCGUAAGCGAAGGUAUGAAUUGAAGCCCCAGUAAACGGCGGCCGUAACUAUAACGGUCCUAAGGUAGCGAAAUUCCUUGUCGGGUAAGUUCCGACCCGCACGAAAGGCGUAAUGAUUUGGGCACUGUCUCAACGAGAGACUCGGUGAAAUUUUAGUACCUGUGAAGAUGCAGGUUACCCGCGACAGGACGGAAAGACCCCAUGGAGCUUUACUGCAGUUUGAUAUUGAGUGUCUGUACCACAUGUACAGGAUAGGUAGGAGUCUAAGAGAUCGGGACGCCAGUUUCGAAGGAGACGCUGUUGGGAUACUACCCUUGUGUUAUGGCCACUCUAACCCAGAUAGGUGAUCCCUAUCGGAGACAGUGUCUGACGGGCAGUUUGACUGGGGCGGUCGCCUCCUAAAAGGUAACGGAGGCGCCCAAAGGUUCCCUCAGAAUGGUUGGAAAUCAUUCGCAGAGUGUAAAGGUAUAAGGGAGCUUGACUGCGAGAGCUACAACUCGAGCAGGGACGAAAGUCGGGCUUAGUGAUCCGGUGGUUCCGUAUGGAAGGGCCAUCGCUCAACGGAUAAAAGCUACCCUGGGGAUAACAGGCUUAUCUCCCCCAAGAGUUCACAUCGACGGGGAGGUUUGGCACCUCGAUGUCGGCUCGUCGCAUCCUGGGGCUGUAGUCGGUCCCAAGGGUUGGGCUGUUCGCCCAUUAAAGCGGCACGCGAGCUGGGUUCAGAACGUCGUGAGACAGUUCGGUCCCUAUCCGUCGCGGGCGUAGGAAAUUUGAGAGGAUCUGCUCCUAGUACGAGAGGACCAGAGUGGACUUACCGCUGGUGUACCAGUUGUCUUGCCAAAGGCAUCGCUGGGUAGCUAUGUAGGGAAGGGAUAAACGCUGAAAGCAUCUAAGUGUGAAACCCACCUCAAGAUGAGAUUUCCCAUGAUUAUAUAUCAGUAAGAGCCCUGAGAGAUGAUCAGGUAGAUAGGUUAGAAGUGGAAGUGUGGCGACACAUGUAGCGGACUAAUACUAAUAGCUCGAGGACUUAUCCAAA
rnacentral:rRNA from 3 species